rnacentral:rRNA from 1 species
GAGACCCACGCCAACAGUUGCCAGCAUGUCCUCCGGGAUGGUGGGGACACUGUUGGGACCGCCUCUGCUAAAGAGGAGGAAGGAAUGGGCAACGGUAGGUCAGCAUGCCCCGAAUUAUCCGGGCUACACGCGGGCUACAAUGGUCAGGACAAUGGGUAUCGACACCGAGAGGUGAAGGCAAUCUCUUAAACCUGUCCUUAGUUCGGAUCGUGGGCUGCAACUCGCCCACAUGAAGCUGGAAUCCGUAGUAAUCGCGUCUCAAAAUGGCGCGGUGAAUAU